AGCUCGUAGUUGGAUUUGGGACUGGAGUCGCUCGGUCGGCCGCAAGGUCUGUUACUGAGCGGCUCUGUCAUUACAAUUCCCAGAGACCUGUCGUGUGCUUCACUGUACGCGGCACGGGAUUUGGGACGUUUACUUUGAAAAAAUUAGAGUGUUCAAAGCAGGCUUAAUAGCCCGAAUACAUGAGCAUGGAAUAAUGGAAUAGGAUUGCGGUUCUAUUUUGUUGGUUUCUACGACCGCAGUAAUGAUUAAGAGGGACAAUUGGGGGCAUCCGUAUUUCGUUGUCAGAGGUGAAAUUCUUGGAUUUACGAAAGACGAACAACUGCGAAAGCAUUUGCCAAGAGUGUUUUCAUUAAUCAAGAACGAAAGUUAGAGGAUCGAAGACGAUCAGAUACCGUCCUAGUUCUAACCAUAAACGAUGUCGACUAGGGAUUGGCGGGCGUUAACUUAACACGACCCCGUCAGCACCUUACGGGAAACCAAAGUUUUUGGAUUCCGGGGGAAGUAUGGUUGCAAAACUGAAACUUAAAGGAAUUGACGGAAGGGCACCACCAGGAGUGGAGCCUGCGGCUUAAUUUGACUCAACACGGGAAAACUCACCAGGUCCAGACAUAGUAAGGAUUGACAGGUUGAGAGCCCUUUCUUGAUUCUAUGGGUG
rnacentral:rRNA from 1 species